rnacentral:rRNA from 1 species
UACGUAGGGUGCAAGCGUUAAUCGGAAUUACUGGGCGUAAAGCGUGCGCAGGCGGUUAUGCAAGUCAGACGUGAAAUCCCCAGGCUCAACCUGGGAACUGCGUCUGAUACUGGAUGGCUUGAAUCCGGGAGAGGGAUGCAGAAUUCCAGGUGUAGCGGUGAAAUGCGUAGAUAUCUGGAGGAACAUCGGUAGCGAAGGCGGCAUCCUGGACCGGUAUUGACGCUGAGGCGCGAAAGCCAGGGGAGCAAACGGG